rnacentral:rRNA from 1 species
GACGAACGCUGGCGGCGUGCUUAACACAUGCCAGUCGAACGGUAAGGCUCCAGCUUGCUGGGGUACACGAGUGGCGAACGGGUGAGUAACACGUGGGUGACCUGCCCUGCACUUCGGGAUAAGCCUAGGAAACUGGGUCUAAUACCGGAUAGGACCGCACCGUGAGGGUGUGGUGGAAAGUUUUUUCGGUGUGGGCUGGGCCCGCGGCCUAUCAGCUUGUUGGUGGGGUAAUGGCCUACCAAGGCGGCGACGGGUAGCCGGCCUGAGAGGGUGGACGGCCACAUUGGGACUGAGACACGGCCCAGACUCCUACGGGAGGCAGCAGUGGGGAAUAUUGCACAAUGGGCGGAAGCCUGAUGCAGCGACGCCGCGUGGGGGAUGACGGCCUUCGGGUUGUAAACUCCUUUCACCAUCGACGAAGGGUUUCUGACGGUAGAUGGAGAAGAAGCACCGGCUAACUACGUG